rnacentral:rRNA from 1 species
AUUGAACGCUGGCGGCAUGCCUUACACAUGCAAGUCGAACGGUAACAGGUCUUCGGAUGCUGACGAGUGGCGAACGGGUGAGUAAUACAUCGGAACGUGCCCGAGAGUGGGGGAUAACGAAGCGAAAGCUUUGCUAAUACCGCAUACGAUCUCAGGAUGAAAGCAGGGGACCGCAAGGCCUUGCGCUCACGGAGCGGCCGAUGGCAGAUUAGGUAGUUGGUGGGAUAAAAGCUUACCAAGCCGACGAUCUGUAGCUGGUCUGAGAGGACGACCAGCCACACGGGGACUGAGACACGGCCCAGACUCCUACGGGAGGCAGCAGUGGGGAAUUUUGGACAAUGGGCGAAAGCCUGAUCCAGCCAUGCCGCGUGCAGGAUGAAGGCCUUCGGGUUGUAAACUGCUUUUGUACGGAACGAAAAGGCUCUGGUUAAUACCUGGAGUCCAUGACGGUACCGUAAGAAUAAGCACCGGCUAACUACGUGCCAGCCGCCGCCGUAACAC